UACGUAGGGGGCUAGCGUUGUCCGGAUUUAUUGGGCGUAAAGAGCUCGUAGGCGGUCUGUUGCGUCGGAUGUGAAAGCCCGGGGCUUAACUCCGGGUCUGCAUUCGAUACGGGCUGGCUAGAGUGUGGUAGGGGAGAUCGGAAUUCCUGGUGUAGCGGUGAAAUGCGCAGAUAUCAGGAGGAACACCGGUGGCGAAGGCGGAUCUCUGGGCCAUUACUGACGCUGAGGAGCGAAAGCGUGGGGAGCGAACAGG
rnacentral:rRNA from 1 species